rnacentral:rRNA from 1 species
GGAUAGCCUUUCGAAAGGAAGAUUAAUACCCCAUAAUAUAUUAAGUGGCAUCACUUGAUAUUGAAAACUACGGUGGAUAGAGAUGGGCACGCGCAAGAUUAGAUAGUUGGUAGGGUAACGGCCUACCAAGUCUACGAUCUUUAGGGGGCCUGAGAGGGUGAUCCCCCACACUGGUACUGAGACACGGACCAGACUCCUACGGGAGGCAGCAGUGAGGAAUAUUGGACAAUGGGUGCAAGCCUGAUCCAGCCAUCCCGCGUGAAGGACGACGGCCCUAUGGGUUGUAAACUUCUUUUGUAUAGGGAUAAACCUAGAUACGUGUAUCUAGCUGAAGGUACUAUACGAAUAAGCACCGGCUAACUCCGUGCCAGCAGCCGCGGUAAUACGGAGGGUGCAAGCGUUAUCCGGAUUUNUUGGGUUUAAAGGGUCCGUAGGCGGAUCUGUAAGUCAGUGGUGAAAUCUCACAGCUU